AAUUUUGGACAAUGGGGGAAACCCUGAUCCAGCCAUCCCGCGUGUAUGAUGAAGGCCUUCGUGUUGUAAAGUACUUUUGGCAGAGAAGAAAAGGUACCUCCUAAUACGAGGUACUGCUGACGGUAUCUUCAGAAUAAGCAUCGGCUAACUACGUCCCAGCAGCCGCGGUAAUACGUAGGGUGCAAGCCUUAAUCGGAAUUACUUGGCGUAAAGCGGGUGUAGGCGGUUCGAAAAGAAAGAUGUGAAAUCCCAGGGCUCAACCUUGGAACUGCAUUUUUAACUGCCGAGCUAGAGUAUGUCAGAGGGGGGUAGAAUUCCACGUGUAGCAGUGAAAUGCGUAGAUAUGUGGAGGAAUACCGAUGGCGAAGGCAGCCCCCUGGGAUAAUACUGACGCUCAGACACGAAAGCGUGGGGAGCAAACAG
rnacentral:rRNA from 1 species